rnacentral:rRNA from 1 species
CAGCCGCCGCGGUAAUACGUAGGUGGCAAGCGUUAUCCGGAAUUAUUGGGCGUAAAGCGCGCGUAGGCGGUUUUUUAAGUCUGAUGUGAAAGCCCACGGCUCAACCGUGGAGGGUCAUUGGAAACUGGAAAACUUGAGUGCAGAAGAGGAAAGUGGAAUUCCAUGUGUAGCGGUGAAAUGCGCAGAGAUAUGGAGGAACACCAGUGGCGAAGGCGGCUCUCUGGUCUGUAACUGACGCUGAGGAGCGAAAGCGUGGGGAGCAAACAGGAUUAGAUACCCCUGUAGUCCCUGUCUCUUAUAC